AAAAAUUCAAUACUUAGUUAUAUUUUUUAUUAUUCGAUUUUCCAGAUGUUGCCAAUUCGGAGAGUAGCGUUAGGAGCGCCAAUUUACAGUUUUUCCCACCGAUACCACUUGAAAAAGACUUGAUAAAGCCAUCCACGAGCACCACCGAACCACCGCUUGAACCGACCAUUUUGGUUUACGAAAAUCCCGAAAGCCCACCGGAAAUAGCAUCCGAGAUAGUGAUUCCCGUGCUGAAAUCGAACUCGUACAAGACUCGAAAGCUCGAAAAUCCGAAACAGCGUGCUCGUCCGAAAGUUAUUCCCAAGGGUGCAAUCGCAAAACCGAAGGAAAUGCUUGGAGACCGGCCAAAAAGGAGCAACAUUACAUCCAACAAUAACAACGUCUCGGCCAAAAUCAAGGCAACUGGUCGGUCUAAAAAAUUCCCGUGCUACAACUGCAACAAAUCUUACAUGUCGCUGCACAGUUUGAAGCGUCACCUCGAAUUUGAAUGCCUCGUGGAUCCGCACUACCGCUGUGGACACUGCGAGUUCAUCUGCGCCUAUCCCAUAAGCGUCAUUAGGCACAAUAAUAAUCGGCACAAGGAUUUGGAGCCGGUUGUCAUCGAC